CGUGGUCAAGGGCUGGGUCGAGGGGCGGAGCCUCGAUGAGCUUUGAGGAUUUUACUGUUUUGUUUUGUGCUGUGCUGUAAUGUAGAUUAUCAUUAACGACUCUGGUGUGAAAUUUGCUACAGCGUAACUGAAAUCAUGCACCAGUGUAGAAGCCACAGAUACCAGGAAGAUGCUCACAGAUGACACUGUUCCAGGAGCGGAGCACCUCAGUGCUCUCCGCCAACACCCACUCACCAAAAGCCAGAAGGAGCCUGCACUUAAUGGGCUCUAUUAAUUCAGGUAAUAAUUAAUAAUAAUAAUAAUAAACAACUUACCUUUCAAUAGCCAAGAUUUCUAUCCCGGAAGCACUGCUGUUUCCAUACUUGAAGGUAAUUAGCUCGGGAUGUUUUUUUUUGGACGUAAUUUUCACUACAGAAUUUAGUGCUUGCCGAGACUGGAUGUAAGCCAGGCCUUUCCUUGAAAGAAUCUCCCUUAAGCAGUACAUAUGGGUGGCGGUAACCAGCAGAUGGCUUGAGAGAAAAGAAGUUUAAGUGAAUUGGGUCUCGACAGACAUGUCAGUUCAACAGCUCCAGUGUAAAAAAUUCAACUUCAAAGAAUUAUUUUUGAGUUAUCUAUGAAUAUAUUUGAUAAACAAGCUAUAUAUUUUUUCAUCUAAUAUUAUGUAAAAUUGUUUUAUUAACAGAUAAUACCAUAAUUAUUUAAGAGUAAAGGUAUGUUUUCUAAUGAGAAGUUGAGUGUAAUGUGUAAAUAAUUUUUAACUUUAAUGGACUAUUCUGCCAUUCUCAGAUUUUUUUUUUUUUUUUUUUUGGUUUUUCGAGACAGGGUUUCUCUGUGUGGCCCUGGCUGUCCUGGAACUCACUUUGUAGACCAGGCAGGACUCGAACUCAGAAAUCUGCCUGCCUCUGCCUCCCGAGUGCUGGGAUUAAAGGCAUGCGCCCCCACGCCCAGCUCCAUUCUCAGAAUUUUUAACAGGAUUAUAUGUAUUCAAAACUAUUCUCUGUCUAAUAUCAUAAAGUCCAUUACACAAUUGUUGGGUUUCCUUACAUAUUUUAUAAUAUUCUGCAACUAAAUUCCGAAGGCAAAAUGGGCAUAGCUUAAAAACAAUUAAAGCAGAAAACCUCAAAACUCUUAUAUCUUAGCUCACUUUUAACAUAGCAAACAAUAAGGCAAACUAUUAAACAUGCCUAGAAUUUGAAACAUUUUGCCAGACAUGGCCUAGACUCAUGAAGAGAACAGGCACGUAGGAGAAAAGGGAAAGCCCUAGCAUACACUGCGUGAGAACAGGCAGGCAGUGCAGGACGCACUCAGGGCGGAGGGAAACUGCCAAGGCUAAUGUGGGCAGCACUGGUAACACUCGGGCAAAGUGAUGGCAUCAGAGUUAUGUCAGAAACUGCUGGUACUCUUGGGAUUGUACGCUGAAGCACUUAGGGUGAGCUGCUCAUGGAUGGCCUGGGUGUGCCUGACACUUAUUAUGGGGACUGUGAAGAGCCAACAUGUCCAGGAGAGGGGCAUCAGAGUGUUCAAUGUACUAUUCACUGUCCUGUCUCAGAAUUUCCAAAAUACAAAGUGCCUAAGACCUUUAAAAACAGACACUUAACAGGAGUUGACAGUGGGAAAUGAGGUCUUUUGCACUUGAAUAAAAAGUCCCUUGCACUUUAUGUCUAUAUUGACUUUGCCCAGUGCGAGUUUACUUGUAAAAACAUGUUCAAAAGUACCUAGGAAACAUAUGUCCACUUUCUUUAACUUCUUUACAGGGAAAGUGAUGCUUGAUGUCCGGCUUGUUGAUCCAGGUCUGGAUGUUGACAACCUCUUUCCUAUCAUCAUCUGACAUGGACGAGCUGUCGAUUUCAUCUGGGAGGGAAGAGAAGGGUUAAGGCCAUCAGCACCUUCUUAGCAUGUGACACUUCUUAGCAUGUGACACUUCUUAGCAUGUGGACACUUCUUAGCAUGUGAACACUUCUUAGCAUGUGAACACUUCUUAGCAUGUGGACACUUCUUAGCAUGUGAACACUUCUUACCAUGUGAACACUUCUUAGCAUGUGGACACUUCUUAGCAUGUGAACACUUCUUAGCAUGUGGACACUUCUUAGCAUGUGAACACUUCUUAGCAUGUGGACACUUCUUAGCAUGUGAACACUUCUUAGCAUGUGGACACUUCUUAGCAUGUGAACACUUCUUAGCAUGUGAACACUUCUUAGCAUGUGGACACUUCUUAGCAUGUGAACACUUCUUAGCAUGUGGACACUUCUUAGCAUGUGGACACUUCUUAGCAUGUGGACACUUCUUAGCAUGUGAACACUUCUUAGCAUGUGGACACUUCUUAGCAUGUGGACACUUCUUAGCAUGUGGACACUUCUUAGCAUAUGGACACUUCUUAGCAUGUGACACUUCUUAGCAUGUGGACACGUCUUAGCAUGUGGACACUUCUUAGCAUGUGGACACACUGCUUAGCAACCACAAACUAUUGGUUGUGUUCUUAAAGUAGGGCAUGACAGUGAGAAACAAAAGGAAGCACUUCAAAUCCUGCUGGUUCUGUUACAGAGACACGGGAAACAACCCUUACAGUAAGCAAGUCCACUCAAACUCCUGGGAGUACAUGUUGCACUUUUGAGAAAAGAUGUCACAACUGUGGCCUGGCAUGUCAGUGAGAAGCACCUUUCUCGAGGCAGGGAAGGCAGUGUUCCCCUUUGCCAGUUUCUGACUUAAUAAACAGCACAGGGGAAACUUCCUGAAGGGAACACCAAUAGCUUAUGCUCUAAGAACAACAAUCGACAAAUGGGACUCAGAAAACUGCAAAGCAGCUGUAAGGCAAAGGGCACUGUCAAUAGGACAAAAUGGCAACUAACAGAUCGGGAAAAGAUCUUUACCAAUCCUACAUCCGAUAGAGGGCUAAUAUCCAAUAUAUACAAAGAACUCAAGAAGUUAGACUCCAGAGAAUCAAAUAACCCUAUUAAAAGAAAUGGGACACAGAGCUAAACAAAGAAUUCUCAACCGAGGAAAGUCUAAUGGCCAAGAAGCACCUAAAGAAAUGUUCAACAUCCUUUGAUGUUUUGGUAAAUCUCCAACCCAAAUAUGCCCCAGCAAUGAAAACACAACUCAAUUAAUAUAAAUACAUGCUGUGCGCUUAGAUUGGGCAAAUCUACCGCCACACUACCAUCUUCUCCAUCUCCUUAUAACUUGCAGUUUCUUCAGGCCAUGUACUUCUGCUCUGCUUUUCUUCUUCCUCCUCUUCAGCAUCCUCUCCCUCUUCCAUUUUCUCCUUCUCACUCCCCACCUCCACUCCACCAUCCCUUUAUCUGCCCAAUCUCCUUUAUUUUACAAAUUAAGGUGGAAAGCAGGUUUACAGGAAGUCACCUGAGUGCUGACUCAUUUCUUGUUUGGAGCCCCUCACAGGGAUGGAAUUAACAUCAAAUAUAAUUAGGCCCAAGGCUCUCCACAACACUUAGUCAUCAGAGAAAUGCAAAUCAAAACAACCCUGAGAUUCCACCUCACACCAGUCAGAAUGGCUAAGAUCAAAAACUCAGGUGACAGCAGAUGCUGGCAAGGAUGUGGAGAAAGAGGAACACUCCUCCAUUGUUGGUGGGAUUGCAGGCUUGUACAACCACUCUGGAAAUCAGUCUGGCGGUUCCACAGAAAAUUGGACAUAGUACUACCGGAGGAUCCAGCAAUACCUCUUCUGGACAUAUACCCAGAAGAUGUUCCAACAUGUAAUAAGGACUCAUGCUCCCCUAUGUUCAUAGCAGCCUUAUUCAUAAUUUCCAGAGGCUGGAAAGAACCCAGAUGUCCCUCAACAGAGGAAUGGAUACAGAAAAUGUGGUACAUUUACACAAUGGAGUACUACUCAGCUGUUAAAAACAAUGAAUUUAUGAAAUAAAUAAAUAUAUAUUUUAGGUAGAAAAUAUAUAUAUAUUUAUUUAUUUAUUUUAGGGUAGGUGAGUGGGGGAGCACCCCAUGCAGGGGGAAGAGGGAUGGGAUGGGAGUUUCCAAAGGGGAAACUGGGAAAGGGGAUAACAUUUGAAAUGUAAAUGAAGAAAAUAUUCAAUAAAAGAAAAAAAGAGAAAAAAAGAAAAGAAAAGAACACUACGUCCUGCAUUACAUCAGGAAAAUGUUCUUCAAUUAAAAUAAACAUUCUAAUUUUGUUUUCCUAAAUUAAGAAAAUGGAAUUGUAAUGCCUCAGGUUAAUAAUUACAAAUGUUCCUCCCUUUGUUUCUGUGUGUAUGGUCCUGUGAGUGCACGUGUGCACAUGUACAUGUGUGUGUACAUAUGUGUGCACUUGUGUGCGCAUGUGCCUGUGGAGACCAGAGGAUAACCUCUAUGUGUGUCCUGAACUCAAGUGAGCAUGCUGGGCAGCAAGCAAACUGACCUGCUGAGCCAUCUGGCCUCCCCACCCCCACCCCAGCCCUUCCCCGCCCCCUCUACCCCACCACUUUUCCUUUUGAGGCAGUGUUUGUCACUGCCCUGGAGCUCACUAGGCAGACUAGGCUGGCUGGCUGUAGAUUAACUCCAGGGAUCCACUUGUCUCUGCAUCCUGGAUGCUGGGAUUACCAGCCUAGGCCACUCUGCUAACUAGUUUUAUGACAACUAAUUCUGAAAGAGAAACUUCAGUUGAGAAAAUGCCCCGUGAGGCUGGCCUGAGCAAGCCUGUGGUGAGUUUAAUCACUGAUGACUGAUGAUUCUUGUAGCUGGUGCCUCCCCUGGGCUGGUAGUUCUCAGUGCUAUAAGAAAGCAGGCUGAGCAAGCCAUAAAGAGCAAGGCAGUAAAUAGCACCCCUCCAUGGCUUCUGCUUCAGUUCCUGCCUCCAGCUUCUGGCUCUGAGUUUCUGCCCUCGGAGAUGAAAUGACCUGAGAACUGUAGGAUAAAAUAAACCCAUUCUUCCCCAA